rnacentral:rRNA from 1 species
AGUGAACGCUGGCGGUAGGCCUAACACAUGCAAGUCGAACGGCAGCACAGUAAGAGCUUGCUCUUACGGGUGGCGAGUGGCGGACGGGAGAGGAAUACAUCGGAAUCUACUUUUUCGUGGGGGAUAACGUAGGGAAACUUACGCUAAUACCGCAUACGACCUACGGGUGAAAGCAGGGGAUCUUCGGACCUUGCGCGAUUGAAUGAGCCGAUGUCGGAUUAGCUAGUUGGCGGGGUAAAGGCCCACCAAGGCGACGAUCCGUAGCUGGUCUGAGAGGAUGAUCAGCCACACUGGAACUGAGACACGGUCCAGACUCCUACGGGAGGCAGCAGUGGGGAAUAUUGGACAAUGGGCGCAAGCCUGAUCCAGCCAUACCGCGUGGGUGAAGAAGGCCUUCGGGUUGUAAAGCCCUUUUGUUGGGAAAGAAAAGCAGCAGGUUAAUACCCCGCUGUUCUGACGGUACCCAAAGAAUAAGCACCGGCUAACUUCGUG